rnacentral:rRNA from 1 species
UGAACGCUGGCGGCGUGCCUAAUACAUGCAAGUCGAGCGAACAGACGAGGAGCUUGCUCCUCUGCCGUUAGCGGCGGACGGGUGAGUAACACGUGGAUAACCUACCUAUAAGACUGGGAUAACUUCGGGAAACCGGAGCUAAUACCGGAUAAUAUAUUGAACCGCAUGGUUCAAUAGUGAAAGACGGUUUUGCUGUCACUUAUAGAUGGAUCCGCGCCGCAUUAGCUAGUUGGUAAGAUAACGGCUUACCAAGGCAACGAUGCGUAGCCGACCUGAGAGGGUGAUCGGCCACACUGGAACUGAGACACGGUCCAGACUCCUACGGGAGGCAGCAGUAGGGAAUCUUCCGCAAUGGGCGAAAGCCUGACGGAGCAACGCCGCGUGAGUGAUGAAGGUCUUCGGAUCGUAAAACUCUGUUAUUAGGGAAGAACAAAUGUGUAAGUAACUAUGCACGUCUUGACGGUACCUAAUCAGAAAGCCACGGCUAACUACGUG